AUCAACCCUGUUUUCCCGCUCCCUGCUCCGCCAACCCGGUUGCCUCCCGGGGGUGGGUCUCUCUGCACUCCGCCGCCCUGCCUCUGCCAGGCGGAUUCCCACUGCGAAGUCCCCGCGCGCAGGAAACGCUCGCGCUAGGCUUCACCCUCCCUUCCUGUCUACCGGACCUGCAGUUCCGGGGUUCCCCAAAAGUAAAAUGUGUCUCAAGAGCAGGGCCGGGGGCGGGAUUCCACCCCACAGCCCUCUGGGGUCUGACCGCGAAAACUGCCCCACCACGUGCCCGCCCGGGGCCCGCCCGGCCGGCCCCGCCCCGCCGCCGCCAGCGCGCCCUGCGGAGCCCGCGCGAGUUGCCAGCGCGGGAGGGAGCCGCCCGCCUCCGUACUAUAAUGGCAGGAGGCGGGCCCCAUGCGUUUCGUUCUCUUCCCACCUACCCCCAUGGCUAAACCUGGAGGAACCCUCGUUGCCCUUAUUACCGCCCCGCUCCAUCGCGACCCAAGACUGGACAUCUCCCAGCAGGACAUGCCGUUGAUACUUCGCAAACAGAUGGAUCCAGAUUCCAGCCCUGCUCUGUUGCAAGUUACUGAAUUCCUCUGAGCAUGGAUUUUCUCUGGAAAAGAUAGAAGGCACCCAUUUCAAGGCUCUUUUUAAAGGUUACGUUUGAUAAUGUAUUAGAGACCCUCUCUUGUGUAUGUAACUGUCACAGAGCACAUGCUCAGUGCUCUUUGCUCACCUGUCCACCUCCCUUACUCGUUUACACCUGUAGAAAUUGAGUUUGAAGGAUCCUGAAUAACACAGAAAGCUGAAUUAUAAAAUUGCUGUUUCCCAGA